UACGUGAGGGGCGAACGUUGUUCGGUGUCACUGGGCUUAAAGGGCGCGUAGGUGGUUGCGUAAGUAACGUGUGAAAUCCCUCGGCUUACCCGGGGAAUUGCAUGUUAUACUGCGUGGCUUGAGGAUCUCAGGGGAAAGGGGAACUCCAGGUGUAGCGGUGAAAUGCGCAGAUAUCGUAAGGAAGACCAGUGGCGAAGGCGGGUCUCUGGACAGUUCCUGACGCUGAGGCACGAAGGCCAGGGGAGCAAACGGG
rnacentral:rRNA from 1 species